rnacentral:lncRNA from 1 species
CUGGCCUGGGAGCUCGGAAACUCUGCCCUAGAACAGUUCAGGUCAAGCUGGGGUCGGAGGGGGUCUUCCCUCAGUGACCCCAGUUCCCUGCGCGGGUCUCUCCCAUUCUAGGCCACAGUUCCCGCACACAAACUUUUCCCUACUCAUUCAGUCCUUUCGGAACCCUGCCUUCAUUGCUCGGCUGGCUCCAGGGGUCUGGCGGGCUAAUACCCGGGACCCAAGAAAGUGUCUAAUGACCCUUACCAGAACGGGUCCCGAAGGAUGGGACUCCAUAAUACGUGGGGUGCACACAUCCAAGCCCGACUUUGACGGGUUAUGGGUGCAAGUGUGGAAAGAAACGACAGGAGAACAAACUUGGGAAGCCGGACCAAGCGACACUUCCCUGUCCCUAAGUCAGUCUCCAGAGCGACCGGCAGCACUCGGCCGCGACCCCAGGAUGUCGCUCCUCCACCCCAACCCCCAGUUCUCACGGCUCGGAACCCCCAAAGGGUAGUAAAAAGGCAGAGACUGCUGGCAGGAGCUGCUAUGGCACCGUGAGCUGCAGCUGAUCUCCGGGAACUCUGCUGCCUGGUCCAGCCAGUUGUACAAUCGCUUCAAGACUGCAGCAUGGCAAUCACAUGAACCGUCGCAGCGGAUCAAGUUUAAGACUCUUCUGCUACAUGAGCAAAGGACCCCCUCUUUGAUGGACCCAGAACUAGCCUCUCCCACAAAGACCC